rnacentral:rRNA from 1 species
UAGGGAAUCUUCCACAAUGGGCGAAAGCCUGAUGGAGCAACACCGCGUGAGUGAAGAAGGGUUUCGGCUCGUAAAGCUCUGUUGUUAAAGAAGAACACGUAUGAGAGUAACUGUUCAUACGUUGACGGUAUUUAACCAGAAAGUCACGGCUAACUACAUGCCAG